rnacentral:lncRNA from 1 species
CCGAUAUGCCAAGUCACCAAACUUGGUCAUAUCAACGCUUUCAUAUUAACACCAUUCACACACACUUGGUUUAUGCGGAACGACUGGACGUAGUUUAAGCAGGAUUACCCAACUGUCCUUGACUGUGGACACGACUAUUCAAAUAGUUUUACGCUCUGCAGAGGUAGUACGCUGGACCCAUGAGAUCUGGGAAACUUCCGUGUCGUCCACGACUCGCGGUAUAUAACAUACCCGAGGUAAGUACCCGAUCAAUGCCUUUCCCCUGACGAUACUAGACAAAGAGAUCCACUCGAUUGGUACCCAGCCCACAUGUUGUACAUCUUACGAGCAUCGACUCUGGACAGUAGCAACCAUGCGGGGACCAACGGUGUGCCUGGAACACGUAAAAACGACAUAGUCGCCCUACCUGACACGACCCCAUCACGAGAGUGACCACACAUCACUCCCGCCACUAGUAAUGUGGUUCUUUGCUAGCACCGACCAGAGUAAUCAACAAGGCCACAUCCCAUUAAGGGGUAACGUGGUCGUACAUGUAAGGUUGGGAUGGUCGACACAUCAUAAAUAUAUUCCCAUUUCUGAAACCAUAUACACUCAAAAUACCUGGUGCACCACUUCACCAAAAGUGGCCACCUAACUCAUCAUCCCCCUCGGGCAUUAGUGGCAACCGACGGGGUUUUCAUAAACCUUUGAUUUAUACCAUCAUCAUGCUCAUGCUACCAUGCUUAGCUCUACUUGUCAACAUGAUAUUAGCGUGACCCUC